GGCAUUUUGGCUAUUAGUCUAGACUAUCCAUUUUCCGUUUUCCCUCUUCUCCUACCAUCACUAUGCAAGAGACGCUAGAUGCUACAGUAAAUGACGUCGAGCUGCCAGUCUUUCGAAUGAUCCAGAGGUGGUCAUGUUGAAAAUACCAAAUAUUCAACUAAAUUUAUAUACUAUCAGUGAUUCGAUAAAUACGUAAACAGAAUUGUAGUGUACGUGCAUUGAACAAAGUGUUUUGGCCAUCGACAUAGCUUUGGCUUGACCGAUUUGUACGUUUGCUCGAUUGAAAAAUCAACGCUGCCAAACAACUAGCUUGUGCGUCCGUCUUGAGCCGCCAUUCUUUGAUUUCAUCCCAAAUUUGGAUAAUUGUCAUCAAUCAACAUUGCGCAACGUUGUUAAAACAAGUAAACAGUACAAGACAACUAAGGUCAGGCUGCAUUUGUCAUCAUGGCUCAUUUUGGUGACAGUAUUAUAAAUGAAAAAAAACCUCUUGAGUUCGUGCAGGUUUUGCCGCAUAUUAAGCCAGUGGCACCGAUACUUAUAAAAACGUGGCCGACAGAAAUGAACCAUCGGAAUGAAAUUAUAAAUGCCUCAUUGAACAUAUUGACAAAUUCGCCACGUUGUAUUCGAGAAAUGCGUUUGUACUUGUCAAUACUCGGAGACGCGCUAAGGAAAUUUAGAUAUAAACAGAAGAAAGGGUUUUAUAGAGAAAUGACGACUAGUAAAGAGCUUCAAGAAUUAGAGAUAUCACUAGCAUUGUUGUUUAAUGAAAUGAAUGUGGCAUUUUAUCUUAAGAAACUGUUCGGAAACAACGGGGAAAAAAAACCUGACGAUUACGAGCUAGAGAGUGUAAUUGAUGAAGCGGUAAAUGAAGCUAAAAGAUGGAGAACGCAGUAUUUAGACAAGAUACGCAUAGAAACCAUUACUGCCCCGCAGGCUUCCACCAAUUCCCAAAACAAAGUAGCGUCAGGUAAAAAAAGCGAUUGUGACGUGAAUUCAGAAGAUGUGCUAUAUGAACAAAUCUUUGCGAUAAAGAAGCUUUUAAAGACAAUUAAGCCAGUGCCUCCAAUAUUACUAGAAACAUUUCCAAAAGAAAUGAGGUAUUACGAUGAUAACUUAAAUGUGUUGAAAGAUAUGUCUGAAAAGUUACAGGAUCAUUUACCUUACAAGAACGCACGGCGUUAUUUAUUAAUACGUUUAGAAAUGUGCCAGACGAAUAUAUCGGAUACAUUGACUAAGAUUGAAAAAGUAUACCCUAAAGAAGUAGAAGCACUCGCGAAUGAAUUUCCACAUUUUAAAUUAUCUCAUGACGUGCUGUUGGAAGAAGUUAGUAAGAUAUUGACAAAAAUACCGGAGUAAAUGCUAAAGCAACAGAGCAAAAUGAUGAUUAUUAGAAUAUUGAGUUGUUAUAAUCCAAUAAUUAAGUUUUCAUAGAUGAUUGUAGCACCUUCACGUACAAAAAAAGGGUGUCAGAGAAAAAGAAACAGAAAGUGCAUCACCUAAAUAUUUCGAAUCUUUUGCAACUCCACAACAUCAUUAAAUUGUAAAAUUGAUAGUUCAUUCUCAACUAGAAAAUUUCUAUAAAUGGCGCCGAAUAAACGUACAUUUUCAUGGAACGGUUAUACUAUAGCAUUUUUUUCACUUAUCGUUCAAUGACGCAAAAAUUGAAAAAAGUGCCCAUCAGCAAUAAUAAAGUACAGUGACAUAUUCAAUAUGUUGACGUAUCUUAAGUGUCACCUCGGUCAUAAUAUAUAGUUUACCUAACUUUGCUCAAUACUAAAUGAGCGCUUGAAAAUGUGCAAACUAGCUUUAAAUUGGUCAAAAGAGAACAAAAAAUAUAGUUGUCACAAAGAUCCAGAGACAAUUAGCGAGGAUUUAAUGAUUUUGAGAAGUUAUGUGGUGCUAAUUAACGAAAUAAAUGAUGUACUUCAGCGAUUAAAUGAUAUCCCAGAAACUCGAACUGAUCAGUAUCAGAUGCAGAGCAGUAUUAAAGGAACUAUAAAUUCG